CAGCCGUAAACGAUGUGCGUUAGGUGUAUCGACGACCACGAGUUGUCGAGGUGCCGAAGGGAAACCGUGAAACGUACCGCCUGGGAAGUACGGUCGCAAGGCUGAAACUUAAAGGAAUUGGCGGGGGAGCACCACAACAGGUGGAGCCUGCGGUUUAAUUGGAUUCAACACCGUAAAACUCACCAGGGAAGACUGUUACAUGAAGGCCGAGAUGAAGACUCUGCUAGAUUUUCAGAGAGGAGGUGCAUGGCGUCAGUGACU
rnacentral:rRNA from 1 species